rnacentral:rRNA from 1 species
UACGUAGGGGGCAAGCGUUGUCCGGAUUUACUGGGCGUAAAGGGCGCGUAGGCGGCGCAACAAGUCACUUGUGAAAUCUCCGGGCUUAACCCGGAGCGGCCAAGUGAUACUGUCGUGCUAGAGUGCGGAAGGGGCUACUGGAAUUCUCGGUGUAGCGGUGAAAUGCGUAGAUAUCGAGAGGAACACCUGCGGCGAAGGCGGGUAGCUGGGCCGACACUGACGCUGAGGCGCGAAAGCCAGGGGAGCAAACAGG